rnacentral:rRNA from 1 species
GUGUCAGCCGCCGCGGUAAUACGUAGGGGGCAAGCGUUGUCCGGAAUUAUUGGGCGUAAAGAGCGUGUAGGCGGUCCGGUAAGUCAGCUGUGAAAGUCAAGGGCUCAACCCUUGAAAGCCGGUUGAUACUGUCGGGCUAGAGUCCGGAAGAGGCGAGUGGAAUUCCCGGUGUAGCGGUGAAAUGCGCAGAUAUCGGGAGGAACACCAAUGGCGAAGGCAGCUCGCUGGGACGGUACUGACGCUGAGACGCGAAAGCGUGGGGAGCAAACAGGAUUAGAAACCCCCGUAGUCC